UCAGAGAAAAGACAGAGGACAUUGUCCAGCCCCAUCUGUCGUGGCUGCAUUCCUUCCAGAUGCUUCCCGAGUGCCUGGCACACACAGGCACUGUCCUCACGUGCUCAGCUGGAGACUUGCUGAGGUUGAUGCCUGACACACAGCAGUCCCUCAGCACGUGGGCUGAGGGGAGGAGGGUGACUUCCUCCUGGAAGGGCAGCCGGGCCGCUGUCCCGUGCACGGGGCCCUAGGGCAGAUGGCAUUUGCUCUCUGCUAGAGCUGGCCCUCGAUGGGGUGCGGGUGUUCCUCUCACCACUCAGCCGGCCGCGGCGGCCCUGCCAGCCCACAUUCCUGAGUCACAGAGGAACCGGGCGGCCGGGCCGGUGUCGGAUUGCGCAGCCGUGGCUGCAGGACCGCUCUGUUUGCCGGGCUAAGGCGCUCUCCCCCGACUGCUGGAGCACAGACUCCGGAUGCGCAGGCUCAGCGGCCAUGGCUCACGGGCCCAGCCGCUCCGCGGCAUGUGGGAUCUUCCCGGACCGGGGCACGAACCCGUGUCCCCUGCGUCGGCAGGCGGACUCUCAACCACUGCGCCACCAGGGGAGCCCUAGAAUUUUUUCAUGUGUGUGAACACCACCACGUAAGCAGUAUCACAGAGCAUGUAUCAUCUUCACACUUGCUUCCGUUCCACGUUUAAUUGGGGGUUUUGAUCCUCGUGGAUUCAUUUCUGCUCUGGGAUGAUGGUCUGUUGUACGGAUCAGUGGGAAUUUCUUUAAAUGCAUUUUCCUCUUGGGGGAGAUUUUAGGUUGCUACCCUUCUUUCUAUCUUUCUUCCCUUUUAGCUCACUGUACACAAGGCUGCUCUGAACGUUCCUGUGUAUGUUCCUGAACACACGCGAGGGAGGUUUUUCUGGAAGCACCGGCGCUGGCCCCAGCUCUCUGAGAUGUCGCACCCAGAAAAGCUAACCUAGCCAGGGGGUAACCGUGCCCUCUUGGCUCCUGAAGUGUGAAGGAUACAGUCUCUUCGUCCUGGAAGACAGUGGAAGCCGUGGCGCUUUGUGGCAAGCUGAGAAACAUGACAGCCGAGGACACGGAAUUAAUGGAAGUCAUAAAGUUUUACCUCCACGACAUGUGCUCUUGAGAUCAUGAAGCUGUAGUCAACGACAAGCAGCGACUGACUGCAAGCAUGGGAUGCAGAACCCCUGUCUAACCACAAGGAGAACAUCCAACAAACCCAACUAGAAGAACAUUCCUUAGAAUACUGGACCUGUGCUCCUCAAAACUGCCAAGAUCAUCAAAAACAAGGAGAGUCUGAUGAGUCAAGAGGAAUCUAAGGAGACAGGAUUAAGUGUGAUGCGGCGUCCUGGAUGAGAUCCUGGAGCAGAAGGAGAGUGGGCGUUAGGUAAAAACUGAAGACAUCUGAAUAAAAUCCGGACUUCAGUUAGUGAUGUAACGAUACUGGUUCAUUCACUGUGACAAAUGUUAAUAAUUCUGUAAACCGGCUAUGGGCACGUGGGGCUGUGGACUAUCUUUGCACCUUUUCUGGAAAUUCAAAAUUGUUCUAAAAUGAAAAGCUUAUUUAAAAACUAAAAAGCAAGAAUACUGCUUAUCAGUUCUCUUUCCCAAACCUGGAAAUUCA